GAGGAACCUAGAUCUUCUCUGAUCUCUGAAAAAUAAGUUCCUGGAUAUGAAAGGGGAUACUUUCCUUGGUGGUAGUCCCAGUGAAGACCCACUGAACAUCGUCAGCCUCAAAAUGUAAGCUGUGCUGUCAUCUGCUUUGUGGAACACAUAUGCUACACAUCUUCUCCUUUCAAUUGGGCUGAAGUUGGGGCACAGUUAAAGAGCAUUAUAAAGCUCCUGCUUUAGCAUGAACUUAGUUAUCUAUAGAAAAAAACAUGUACAAGGACACUGGACUGUGGGGAGCAUUGCUCUCCCUCCAUUCCUGAGUGCUCUUAAUGGGAUUAUCCUGGCUUUCCAAAACCCUAUAGAGAAGAAGCUCAUAGAAGAAAAUUCUCUUACUGAAUCAGUAAAAUAUGGAAAAUAAUGGGAUUGUUUAUUAAAGGACUGAAUGAGAGAACACAAGUAAUGCACUUAGAAGAGUGACUGGCAUACAGUGAGUACUACGUGCUGGCUUCUCAACCACGAUAGCCUGAAAUGCACCCGGAAAAUGGGGGCUAAUGUAAGUCAUAUUUAGAGAAGUUAUUUUGGGGGACAAUGUUUUUGACAAGACUACAUUUUUCAUUAUGUUGCUGUCUGUAAACAACUGUAGAUGCAGACUUGCAUUUUGAAAGGCAAGACCCAAAACACACAAACAGAGUAAAUACCUUUAAAAUGCCUCGAUCGCUGGAGAAAUGCCUGGAUGGACCUACCUGAGGGCAGACGCCACUGCCCAAAUUUCCUCUGGGGUUUCCCUGCAUCGGCGGCAUCUUGCCGACUUCCUCCUCUAUCCGACAGCGUGGGGCUCAGGAGCUGCUGCUGGCUGCUUGUCUGCAUGGGAGGAGAAGCACACAGUUACCGUCUUUUUAACCCUGCACUCUCCUCCUUUUACUAUAAGAAAGGAAAACACAUGGCAGGAGGACAAGUGGGAAGAACAACAUGGACUCAGAGUGUCCACAAUGGGGAAAAGUGAAAAUGGGUAUAAAGGGUCACAGAAGAAAAAGAGCCACCACUGCACGCCCUGCUGAAGGAGACACCACUCUUCCUGGGACAUCUUGUCCUGGGUAACCCCCACUGCUUCGUUCCCCUCCAUGCCUGAGAAUGUCAUUGUUUCCCUUCAUAUCUUCGCUGGCAAACCAGGGGGUAAGGAAGGGGAACUGCAGGAAGGAAGGUGGGGCAGUGGGGACCGGCUGGGCGGGGGCAGUCUACUGUCACCAGCCUGGAGAUCCACACUUAGAGCUUCAGGGAAAGAGUUCUCUGCAGGCAAAGCUGUAUGAUGGGCCCUGGCGGAGGAUGGAGCUGAUAACAAUCUAAGCUACAGUCAAAGAGAGAUGCCAAGACUUCCCACACAUUUCACCUGUUCUCAGGUUCACCUGUCACCUCUCCCUUUCCUAACAAAAGCCUUGGUCUUCACAUCUCUUUAGUAUCCUCUCUCUUUUUUUUGUCACCUCUUAGGCUUUUUCAUCUAAAAACAGAGGGCUCUGAAAUCAUCACUUUCCCCAACCUCAUUAUUAGCCCUGUCUCACUGUCUGUCCUGACUUCAGCCUGCCUCCCUCUCCCAUGCGAGACAUUGCCAACCAUCUUCAGGGUGACCAGUGGCAAGGCCACUGCAGAUGCCUCCCCUUGCCCCUUGGUUGACUAACUAACUCCGCAGAAGUCCCUGCAGUCGGUGGCAGAUGAUUUCUAAAGGCUGGGGAGCCCAAAACAUGAGAUCUACUGAAAACUGAGCUAUGGCACCAGUGGGCCUCCUGGAGCACCCUGCUGGGCCAUGGAGCCUUAGGCUUCCAAAGGUACUCUGGCCCCUGGCUGCGUUGCUGCACACCAUGGAGCCUGGUGCUGCUGGGGGCUCUGCACAGAGCAUGGGAUCAGCUCCACGUUGUUAACCUCAAAUCGUAAUUGCUGCCUCAUAAAGGGGCAGGUCCUCCCAGCCAGCUGCUUCUCACAGCACAGGACUCUCCAGGACGCUGAUAACUCCUUGUACUUUUUUAUAUAGACACAUACAUAGAGUUUGAAAAUGAAAAUAUGCUGUGACUUAAUAAAUAGAAACUCCUCAA